rnacentral:rRNA from 1 species
AUUGAACGCUGCGGCAGGCCUAACACAUGCAAGUCGAGCGGGGUCUUCGGACCUAGCGGCGGACGGGUGAGUAAUGCGUAGGAAGCUACCCGAUAGAAGGGGAUACCAGUUGGAAACGACUGUUAAUACCGCAUAAUGUCUACGGACCAAAGUGUGGGACCUUCGGGCCACAUGCUAUCGGAUGCGCCUACGUGGGAUUAGCUAGUUGGUGAGGUAAUGGCUCACCAAGGCGACGAUCUCUAGCUGGUUUGAGAGGAUGAUCAGCCACACUGGAACUGAGACACGGUCCAGACUCCUACGGGAGGCAGCAGUGGGGAAUAUUGGACAAUGGGCGCAAGCCUGAUCCAGCCAUGCCGCGUGUGUGAAGAAGGCCUUCGGGUUGUAAAGCACUUUCAGCGAGGAGGAAGGGUGGUGUGUUAAUAGCACAUCAUUUUGACGUUACUCGCAGAAGAAGCACCGGCUAACUCUGUGCCAGCAGCCGCCGUAACAC